rnacentral:rRNA from 1 species
GGAUAACAGGUUGAUAUUCCUGUACCACCAUGAUUCGUUUUAAGCGAUGGGGGGACGCAGUAGGAUAGGCGAAGCGUGCUGUUGGAGUGCACGUCCAAGCAGUAAGACUGAGUGUUAGGCAAAUCCGGCACUCACUAAGGUCAAGCUGUGAUGGGGAGAGGAAACAUGUUUUCCUCGAGUCGUUGAUUUCACACUGCCGAGAAAAGCCUCUAGCUAGAAGAUUGGUGCCCGUACCGCAAACCGACACAGGUAGUCAAGAUGA